rnacentral:rRNA from 1 species
GCGCGGUGAAAGCACGUUCAAUGCACCAAUUCCCUAUGGAUCACUGAAGUUGAGCAACGUUGCGCGUGGUUAGUAUCCGGAUGGGUAACCAUCUGGGCAUUCGCGAGCUGCUGGCU